rnacentral:lncRNA from 10 species
GAGUCGCACUCUGAAAUCCAAGCUGGAGUGCAAUGAUGUGAUCUCCCACCAUGCUAGUUGUGUUUGUUGUUGUUGUUUUUUCUUUAGUAGAGAUGGAGUUUCUCCAUGUUGGUGAGGCUGGUCUUGAACUCCUGACCUCAGGUGAUCCACCCACCUCGGCCUCCCAAAGUGCUAGGAUUACAGGUGUGAGUCACCAUGCCUGGCCUCAAUUUCUUGAAAGACAAAGAAAAAAGACAAAAAGAAAAAGAGAAAGAAAGAAAAAGAAAAUGAAAAAAGAAAAAGAGAACAAGAAAAAGAGAAAGAAAGCUCCAUGGGUUUAAAGGCAAGAGUCAGCUUCAAGGAGGGCUGGGAAGUCAGGUGAUGCCACCCCUGUGCUUCCCGCGGCCAGAUCACCUGGUGGAGGUACGGUUGGUUUUGGGCCCCUCUCUCAGCACUUGCUACCAGAGAGGACAGCUCUACACCAGAGAGUGAGGGUGGGAACCUGCUCACUGCUGUCUGCUCAGGGCUGGGCAUGAGGCAGGUGCUCAGUAGGGGUCUGGAGAAUAAAUGAAUGAACCAUCACGGGGCCAAGCACCUGGAAGCGGGCUGGAGAUGCUUGCUCUGGACUCCUGGCUCAGGAGUGGACUCCCCAGGUGGACUUCCUCCUGCAUCGCCACAGCUGAGUGCAUGGAGCACAGGUAGGGCAGCUAAUGAGCAGGGUCAUCAUGAAUGACAGCAGAUGACACCGGGACAGGGGAGGUCAGUAGCCAGAUGGGAAGAAAGCAGAAUGAAACAGGUCGGCCGGGUGCAGUGGCUCAUGCCUGUACUCCCAAAGUGGUAGGAUUACAGGCAUGUGCUAAAAAUUUCAAGAUGAGGACAGCAGAGCAUAAAUGAAGCGCAGGACCCUUGCAAGUGGGCCCGUCUGGGGUGUGACUGCAUUUGGGGAGAAGGGGAUGGGGUCCUGCCUGUCCCUGCAGUCACAGCAUACCACGAGUCCUGGGGCAGAGGAGCCUGGAUUCAGGCCCUUGGUGCCCAGUGGUCCUGGCUCACAGACACCCCUCGUUCAGCAGCCAGGGGGUUCCUCACUGUGUCCCAGAUGUCACUCUAAAGAUUGCUUCAGAGGCUCCCUCCCCAAUCGUUGGAGGGACUCUGCCAGUUCCAAUGACCAGCCAGCUGCCUUCAGGUCACAAAAGAAUCUGGGGCUGGUCUGAGACCAGGUGUACCCCCAGACCCCAUCUCUGUCCAGAUCAUGAGAGGGAGUCCAGGGUCACCCGCCUCCCACAGUUGGGCUUCACUGCACAGCUGGAACUCAGCCAGGCCUGUUCCGGGAAGCAGGGCUGUGAGUGUGAGCCGUCCAGGUCCUUGGCAUUUUGAACAAAGAAUUGAACAAAAUCCACAAAGUAGCAUAGCAAUGAGACAUGGGAAGGAAGCA